rnacentral:sRNA from 1 species
GCCCAAAGUCGCACGUGCCUGUGGGUGUCCGCCGGGUUCUCGAAUGGUGAGAAUAACCGGUAAGGUACCUGGAAUUAACCCCUCCAGUUAUUCUGUUGGCCAACCAGCAGAGCGAGGACAUCUUGAAGCAACGACGGUGCGGGCCUUU